GAUAUAUUAGUGAAUUUCAUAUCAUUAUUUCAUGAUGAAGAUCUAAUUAUUUAGACUUUUUU
rnacentral:tRNA from 1 species